AGAGGUUCUUGGGUGACACACCCCAGAAAUGGGUUCCCUCCUCUCUGGUUCUGGGGUGCGUCACCCGAGAACCGCU
rfam:Myotis davidii contig5411, whole genome shotgun sequence.